CGCGUAGGAAUCUACCUAGUAGAAGGGGAUAGCCCGGGGAAACUCGGAUUAAUACCGUAUACCUCCUUCGGGAGAAAGAAGGCCUCUCUUUGAAGCUUUCGCUAUUAGAUGAGCCUGCGUAAGAUUAGCUUGUUGGUGAGGUAAAGGCUCACCAAGGCGACGAUCUUUAGCUGGUCUGAGAGGACGAUCAGCCACAUUGGGACUGAGACACGGCCCAGACUCCUACGGGAGGCAGCAGUGAGGAAUCUUCCACAAUGGACGAAAGUCUGAUGGAGCGACACCGCGUGAAGGAUGAAGGCC
rnacentral:rRNA from 1 species